CACGAACGCUGGCGGCAGGCUUAACACAUGCAAGUCGAGCGCCCCGCAAGGGGAGCGGCAGACGGGUGAGUAACGCGUGGGAAUCUACCCAUCUCUACGGAAUAACGCAUGGAAACGUGUGCUAAUACCGUAUACGUCCUUCGGGAGAAAGAUUUAUCGGAGAUGGAUGAGCCCGCGUUGGAUUAGCCAGUUGGUGGGGUAAAGGCCUACCAAGGCGACGAUCCAUAGCUGGUCUGAGAGGAUGAUCAGCCACACUGGGACUGAGACACGGCCCAGACUCCUACGGGAGGCAGCAGUGGGGAAUAUUGGACAAUGGGCGCAAGCCUGAUCCAGCCAUGCCGCGUGAGUGAUGAAGGCCCAAGGGUUGUAAAGCUCUUUCACCGGUGAAGAUAAUGACGGUAACCGGAGAAGAAGCCCCGGCUAACUUCGUGCCAGCCGCCGCGGUAAAAC
rnacentral:rRNA from 1 species